UGACCUCGGAUCAGGUAGGGAUACCCGCUGACUUAAGCAUAUA
rnacentral:rRNA from 1 species